UCUUCUUACAAAUCUUUGCUUUACAAAUUUUUGCUUCCAAACUUUGUAUUUGGAAAACAAAAACAAAACAAAACAGAGGAAGAUCUAGGCUAACUGUCAGUUGAGAAAUCACAAAGCAAUUUUUUGGAGAUAGGUCACAAUUGAUUUUUGGCAUGCAGGUUAGAAGUUCAAAGAGUUCAAGGAAUCGCUGAACUGCUAGUCUGGAUUCCUAUCCAUCUAGUUAGGGGAACACUUUUCUCCAUGCUUGCAGCAGAAGCAAGAGGAGGGAGGGAAAUGUUUAAACAAAAAAUAAACCGAAGAAAGAAUAUCAGCAAAAUGUUCUCACUAAAUCCUUGGGGCCUGCUAAUUUACUGAGGCUGAUCUCAACUGACAAUCCUCCUGCCUCAGCCUCCCAAGUGGCUGAGAUUACAGGACAAGAUCUCUCUAAAUAUCCCAGACUGAGGGGCUGGGGAUGUGGCUCAAGCGGUAGCGCGAUCGCCUGGCAUGCGUGCGGCCCGGGUUCCAUCCUCAGCACCACAUACAAAGAUGUUGUGUCCGCUGAAAACUAAAAAAAUAAAUAUUAAAAAUUC